GACGAACGCUGGCGGCGUGCUUAACACAUGCAAGUCGAACGGAAAGGCCCUGCUUUUGUGGGGUGCUCGAGUGGCGAACGGGUGAGUAACACGUGAGUAACCUGCCCUUGACUUUGGGAUAACUUCAGGAAACUGGGGCUAAUACCGGAUAGGAGCUCCUGCUGCAUGGUGGGGGUUGGAAAGUUUCGGCGGUUGGGGAUGGACUCGCGGCUUAUCAGCUUGUUGGUGGGGUAGUGGCUUACCAAGGCUUUGACGGGUAGCCGGCCUGAGAGGGUGACCGGCCACAUUGGGACUGAGGUACGGCCCAGACUCCUACGGGAGGCAGCAGUGGGGAAUAUUGCACAGUGGGCGGAAGCCUGAUGCAGCAACGCCGCGUGCGGGAUGACGUCCUUCGGGUUGUAAACCGCUUUCGCCUGUGACGAAGCGUGAGUGACGGUAAUGGGUAAAGAAGCACCGGCUAACUACGUG
rnacentral:rRNA from 1 species